GACGAACGCUGGCGGCGUGCCUAAUACAUGCAAGUAGAACGCUGAAGGAGGAGCUUGCUCUGCUGGAUGAGUUGCGAACGGGUGAGUAACGCGUAGGUAACCUGCCUGGCAGCGGGGGAUAACUCUUGGAAACGAUAGCUAAUACCGCAUAAAAUUGAUUAUUGCAUGAUAGUCUAUUAAAAGGUGCAAUUGCAUCACUACCAGAUGGCUCUGCGUUGUAUUAGCUAGUUGGGGAGGUAACGGCCCACCAAGGGAAGGAUUCGUAGACGACCGGAGAGGGUGGUCGGCCACACUGGGACUUGGACGGGGCCCAUGCGACUGCGAGAGGGAGCAGUAGGGAAUCGGAGGCAAUAGACGGAAGUCUGGCAGAGCGACGCCGAGUGAGAGAAGAAGGUGCUCGGAUCGGAAAGCUCGGUUGUAAGAGGAGAACGAGUGUGGGAGUGGAAAGUGCACAUUGUGACGGUAUCUGACCAAAAAGGGACGGCUAACUACGUG
rnacentral:rRNA from 1 species